UUCCAGACUCCUACGGGAGGCAGCAGUGGGGAAUAUUGGGCAAUGGGCGCAAGCCUGACCCAGCAACGCCGCGUGAAGGAAGAAGGCUUUCGGGUUGUAAACUUCUUUUAAGAGGGAAGAGCAGAAGACGGUACCUCUUGAAUAAGCCACGGCUAACUACGUGCCAGCAGCCGCGGUAAUACGUAGGUGGCAAGCGUUGUCCGGAUUUACUGGGUGUAAAGGGCGUGCAGCCGGGCUUACAAGUCAGAUGUGAAAUCCUGCGGCUCAACCGCAGAACUGCAUUUGAAACUGUAGGUCUUGAGUACUGGAGAGGCAGACGGAAUUCCUAGUGUAGCGGUGAAAUGCGUAGAUAUUAGGUGGAACACCAGUGGCGAAGGCGGUCUGCUGGACAGCAACUGACGGUGAGGCGCGAAAGCGUGGGGAGCAAACAGGAUUAGAUACCCUCGUAU
rnacentral:rRNA from 1 species